CGGCACUCGCAGUCCGUCUACUCACGUCCCCUAGUCAGCCUCUCACUCUCUACCCGCUGGGCGGUACCCCGCAUCUCGCUCUGGCCGCCCCAGAGGUUCGCGGCUUCUGGACCUGCUGUGCCCCUCUCCAGCCUGGAUCAGGACGGAGAACACCCCCGAAACCCACCUCACCAGCACAGCCGGCGGACCCUUCCGGAGGUGGCCGCAGAGACUAGCCAACUUGCGCGCCCGCCGACCCGGACCACAGCUCCCAGCACACCUCAAGGGCCCACGCCCGCCAGGACUACAAUUCCCGGCGUCCUCCGGAAGCUCAAGUGUACCCAGGCGCGGUGCCUGCUGGGAAUUGUAGUUGACGUUGGUCAGCACGGAGGCCACAGGAUCCCAGCCCGGCCUUUGUGGGACUGAGGUGGCGCUGAGUGGGAGAGCAGCAGGCGAUGCGCGAAAGGCGGGACUUGGAGGUUCUGGAUGUUCCUGUGGAUAACCUCAAGGAGCACGGGACCUGGGACAUGACUGCCCCCAGCAUUCCUUCUGGCGGCAGACAGAGUUUGUCAGUUCGCCAACAUCCUGCUUUCAUGAGAACAGUUUGCUGUUUGCUCACAGAGCCUCCAGUGGUAUACUGAGUUGGUCACGACCCUCAUUCCUUCGGCCUCCAACAUCUCCCCUUUUGUUUUUGCAUUAAUUGAAUAAAGGUAAUUUCAGGCUGUGCAGCUUUCAAUUGCCGGUUGGUGGUUCACCCGAUCCUAUAGACUAUGAGCAAAAAAACAGAGACAUAACAACAUUAUUCUUGUAAUUA
rnacentral:lncRNA from 1 species